rnacentral:rRNA from 1 species
GACGAACGCUGGCGGCGUGCUUAACACAUGCAAGUCGUACGGUAAGGCCCUUUCGGGGGUACACGAGUGGCGAACGGGGGCGUAACACGUGAGUAACCUGCCCACAACUUUGGGAUAACGCUAGGAAACUGGUGCUAAUACUGGAAAUGUGUUCCUGCUGCAUGGUGGGGGUUGGAAAGCUCCGGCGGUUGUGGAUGGACUCGCGGCCUAUCAGCUUGUUGGUGGGGUAGUGGCCUAACAAGGCGGCGACGGGUAGCCGGCCUGAGAGGGUGACCGGCCACAUUAGGCCUGAGCUGCGGCCCAGACUCCUACGGGAGGCAGCAGUGGGGAAUGUUGCACAAUGGGCGCCAGCCUGAUGCAGCAACGCCGCGUGCGGGAUGACGGCCUUCGGGUUGUAAACCGCUUUCAGCAGGGACGAAGCUUUUUGUGACGGUACCUGCAGAAGAAGCACCGGCUAACUACGUG